GGACCAAUCCGCGGGGAGGGGGAAGGCUCUUGGGGUGUAAACCUCUUUUCUCAAGGAAGAAAGCAAUGACGGUACCUGAGGAAUAAGCAUCGGCUAACUCCGUGCCAGCAGCCGCGGUAAUACAGAGGAUGCAAGCGUAUCCGCAAUGAUUGGGCGUAAAGCGUCCGCAGGUGGCAAUGAAAGUCUGCUGUAAAGAGCUGAGGCUCAACCUCAUAAAAGCGGUGGAAACUACAUAGCUAGAGUACGUUCGGGGCAGAGGGAAUUCCUGGUGUAGCGGUGAAAUGCGUAGAGAUCAGGAAGAACACCGGUGGCGAAAGCGCUCUGCUAGGCCUGUACUGACACUGAGGGACGAAAGCUAGGGGAGCGAAUGGGAUUAGAUACCCCAGUAGUCCUAGCCGUAAACGAUGGAUACUAGGCGUGGCUUGUAUCGACCCGAGCCGUGCCGGAGCUAACGCGUUAAGUAUCCCGCCUGGGGAGUACGCACGCAAGUGUGAAACUCAAAGGAAUUGACGGGGGCCCGCACAAGCGGUGGAGUAUGUGGUUUAAUUCGAUGCAACGCGAAGAACCUUACCAAGACUUGACAUGUCGCGAACCUCUUUGAAAGGAGAGGGUGCCUUAGGGAGCGCGAACACAGGUGGUGCAUGGCUGUCGUCAGCUCGUGUCGUGAGAUGUUGGGUUAAGUCCCGCAACGAGCGCAACCCUCGUUUUUAGUUUCCAGCAUUAAGUUGGGCACUCUAGAGAGACUGCCGGUGACAAACCGGAGGAAGGUGGGGGUGACGUCAAGUCAGCAUGCCCCCUACGUCUCGGGCUACACACGUACUACAACGCUACGGACAAAGGGCAGCAAGAUAGUGAUAGCAAGCAAAUCUCAUAAACCGUAGCUCAGUUCAGAUCGCAGGCUGCAACUCGCCUGCGCGAAGUCGGAAUCGCUAGUAAUUGCAGGUCAGCAUACGGCAGUGAAUUCGUUCCCGGGCCCUGUACACACCCCCCGCCACACCAC
rnacentral:rRNA from 1 species